rnacentral:rRNA from 1 species
UGCCAGCAGCCGCGGUAAUACGGAGGGGGCUAGCGUUGUUCGGAAUCACUGGGCGUAAAGCGUACGUAGGCGGACUAAUCAGUUGGGGGUGAAAGCCCGGAGCUUAACUCCGGAACUGCCUCCAAUACUGUUAGUCUUGAGGUCGAGAGAGGUAAGUGGAAUUCCAAGUGUAGAGGUGAAAUUCGUAGAUAUUUGGAAGAACACCAGUGGCGAAGGCGACUUACUGGCUCGAUUCUGACGCUGAGGUACGAAAGCGUGGGGAGCAAACAGGAUUAGAUA